GUGCUCACUUCGGCAGCCCAUAUACUAAAAUUGGAACCACAGAGAAGAUUAGCGUGGCCCCUGCGUGAGAGCGAGGCUGUCAUUAACUCGGUGGGACUUCUU
ensembl:snRNA U6 U6 spliceosomal RNA